rnacentral:rRNA from 1 species
UACGAAGGGGGCUAGCGUUGCUCGGAAUCACUGGGCGUAAGGGGUGCGUAGGCGGGUCUUUAAGUCAGGGGUGAAAUCCUGGAGCUCAACUCCAGAACUGCCCUUGAUACUGGAGAGCUUGAGUUCGGGAGAGGUGAGUGGAACUGCGAGUGUAGAGGUGAAAUUCGUAGAUAUUCGCAAGAACACCAGUGGCGAAGGCGGCUCACUGGCCCGAUACUGACGCUGAGGUGCGAAAGCGUGGGGAGCAAACAGG